GUUUUAAUUCAAUACAAACAAUAAAAACCUUAAAUAAUAAAAAAUAACAAUUCUAGCCAAAAACUAAUUUUCUAGUUCAUAUUAACAUGAGAAAUGCAAAUCAGCUAAUUAAAAUACAGCGAAUGAUUUUAAUAAAUGCAAAUAAGGAGUUACCGCCGCCAUCUUGCUAAUCAAACACAAACAACACAAAAUCACUCGAUACUCACUAGCUGAAAGUCAGGAACGUCCAGAAACUUAACGAUUCCGUGAUGUGUCAUAACGAAAUCAUUAAAAAUAGGCCAAAAAACGACUAAAAAACGUAAUAAAAUCGAGAAAACGCCAUUCACAAACCUCACCUUCCCUUUUCGGCAGAACUUCCGGAAGGAGCUAUGCUGGGGGCGGGGCUUAUGUAAAUAUGAGAAUCUCAGCCAAUCAGAAUCCAUGACGUCACGACGAAACCACGCCUGUUGGCAGUAGAGGGUGGGGCUACACCGCCCUUAUGCGUUGGGAGGACGAACUACAAUUUAGAUUAAUUGUAAAACCGCUGCCUAUAUAUUGAAUAUUAAUAAAGGAUUUUGGUGGGCAGAGCCGCAAAUAAUGUCGUCUCGCCUGUUUAUUGGUCACUUUGGGCUCCAGGUCCUAUAAAUUCUGACCCACCUGAUUAUCCUCCUUACGCGCGAGAGCGGGUGAGACAGACAGCGCUCUCUCAGUCCGGAGCUCGGCCAGGACUCGCGGCCCCAGUGACAGUGAGGGGAGAGUUUUACUGCCUGCUGCUCUGGUAUCGACAACAUGUCGGCUUUCAACAAAGUCACUGAAUUCAGUCCAGCCUGGUUCCAGUCUGUCAACAUGUGAUGAAUAAACACCUUCAGCUUCCUUCCUGCUGCUCUUCUCUCUCACUGAGGACUGAGACUGUGAAGAGUCAGAAUCUACAUUAGUUUCUCUCCCACUGCAGACCAGUCUGCAAUCUGCUUCAGGAGUGGACAGUGACUGGGGAAUUAGACUCUCCCCCUGCCCUCUCUCUGCACUGUCCUGCCUCUCUCCUUCUCUGCCUGCUGCUCUGUGUGUGAAGUGUGUUACUGGCACCCCAGCUCUGCCUUUUACACACACUAUUCAAGGUUUGCUCUUCAGGGUUCAAGUAUAUUUAUGUUGAGUGUUUAUUUAUCACUGGUUGACCAGCCUGGAGUGAAUUCAAAAGCUUUGUUGAAAACUGAAAAGAGACUCAUGUCCCCCAAGUCUCCAGCACUGUAGUGGAGCUGAUGGAAGGGGCUGCAGAUUUAAGAUUUGCAUUCCCUGCAGGCCAAAUACACACCCUGAGACCGGAAAUGUUCUCACCUGAACGCUACACUGAACAUUCCCGGUCUUCAGUCUUGGCUGUGGGGUGGUGUCUGUGUGUUGGGAGGCCAUCAGGUUGCAGAGAAACAGGACACCUUGAGACCGAACAGAAGUCUGAAGAGGCUCUGAGGCUGAAAGCAACAACUUCUACCUGUGUUCAACUGAUUGACUACUGUGGUAAAAGAGUGAAAAUAAAACCAGGAAUGACUAACACUUUUAAAAUA